GCGGAGACAAAUGUUUCCGUUCACUCCUCACACCACACUUCGCCCGGGCAACGCUCGGGCGUU
rnacentral:ncRNA from 20 species